GACUCCGUAGCUCAGGGGUUAGAGCACACGAUUGCAGAUCGUGGGGUCGCGCGUUCAAAUCGCGCCGGGGUCU